GGCUCUAUAGCUCAGCUGGCUAGAGCGUCCGGUUCAUACCCGGAAGGUCAAGAGUUCAAGUCUCUUUGGAGCCACCA
rnacentral:tRNA from 2 species